GAGAGAGCUCGGAGGAGCUUCACCUCCGCGCAGACACGGAGCUGCGAGCCGUGCAGCGGUGCGUGCGGAUCAUCCGGGAGGUUUGAUUAAAGUGGAUUUUUAUUACUGUGGACACCUGCAGGGAUUUAUGUGGCGCACACUGACCACGCGGAGACAAAGGAGCGCCGGUGAGGGACGCUGACUCUUCACACGUGGCGUCAGGAUCCUUCAGUCCACCGACCGACGAGCCACCUGGACGAAUGACGAAGACGAUGCACAACAGUGACAAUAUGAAGUUUGGUUGUUCUUUUAUUGUUGUUGUUGCAGUGGCAGUUGUGAUUACUUUUAUGGUUGUCUAGUUAUGUAUAAAUAAUGAAUGUGUUUCUCUGAUUAGCUGUACUGUAAUUCUGAUGCAUGAAUAUACGGUUCAGCACCAGCCAUAAAAACAAGCAAACAAUGAACUCAAGAGUUUCUGAAAAACAACUGGUUGUAAAAACAGUAUUAUAUAGUAUUAUGCCUAAAAUGAUUGUAACUCUAAAAACUCCACAUGUUUAAAAAGCUGACUGGAUAUACAAUUAUAACAGCAAAGCCUCUCUGAGGGCCCAUUAAGGAGCCACUGAUAAUCUCAGUGUAAGACAACAGAGUCCUCAUCUUAUCCCCUUGUCAUCAGGGUGCUGGCUUCGUCCUGCACAACAGAGGGCCGACUGUUUGUGACCUUAGUGCUAAAUCAAGUUCAAAGAGGACCACUGGUGUUUGGCAGAUAGUUUUACACGAGGGCAGUGGGAGAACAGCGUGUUUGGUCAACCUCUGGCUCCCCCUUUGAUUCGCAGCUCUCUGUGACCCCUGGCAGAGCAACACUUCACUCAGGCACACUGGUCAGUCUGAUAAGAUCUGAAAGAUAACUGACUUGACUUUCCAUCUCUGUUCCUUUAUGUUUUUAUAACCUAACUUUUUUAAAAAUAUAUGUAUAUGUAUAAAGGCUCCAUCUUUGUGCGGAUUAAGAAAUGUUUUUGGCAACUUCACCCGAGCAAAAAUACAGAAAUCAGAUUUGGGAAAUACUGUCUGGCAAAGAAACUGUGGUCGGUUGGAUUCCUGAGGAAUGAGUCCACAUUACGUUCACUGACAUUAAGGAAGUAAUUACUUCCCAUGGUGUCAUCGGGCUAUAUGACUGCAUAUUAGCUUAAGUGAUCGUAGACAGACGAACUGACUAGAUUCAUAUGUUUGUUUAAAAGUUUCCUUUUUGUACGUGUAACAUCAGCCCUGCUCGACUGUAUACAACUCUUUUGGAAGUGGAUGCUGUGCAUUGUUGGCAUAUUUUUCUUUUGUUUUUCAUCCAAGGGAUAUAAAAGAGGAAAUAAAACUUAAACCGCUGA